UACGUAGGGUGCGAGCGUUGUCCGGAAUUAUUGGGCGUAAAGGGCUCGUAGGCGGUCUGUCGCGUCGGGGAGUGAAAACUCAGGGCUUAACCCUGAGCCUGCUUCCGAUACGGGCAGACUAGAGGUAUGCAGGGGAGAACGGAAUUCCUGGUGUAGCGGUGGAAUGCGCAGAUAUCAGGAGGAACACCGGUGGCGAAGGCGGUUCUCUGGGCCGGAACUGACGCUGAGGAGCGAAAGCGUGGGGAGCAAACAGG
rnacentral:rRNA from 1 species